rnacentral:lncRNA from 1 species
AUGUCGGGAUUUGGGGAUUUGGCCGCAUUUUGGGCCAUUUUUGGCACAUUUUGGACACAUUUUUUUGGGCCAUUUUUGGCCAUUUUUGGGCCAUUUUUGGGUCAUUUCUGGGCCAUUUUUUGGACAUUUUUGGCCAUUUUUGGCAUCAUUUUGGGCCAUUUUGGGCCAUUUUUGGCCACAUUUUGGGCCAUUUUUGGAACAUUUUGGACACAUUUUUUGGGCCAUUUUUGGCCAUUUUUAGGCACAUUUUGCACCAUUUUUGGCACAUUUUUUGGACCAUUUUGGGACUUUUUAGGGCCAUUUUUGGCCGUUUUUGGGGCCAUUUUCGGCCACAUUUUGGGCCAUUUUUGGGGCCACCUUGGGCACGUUUUUAGGGCCGUUUUUGGGGUGAUUUUGGGCCGUUUUGGGCCGGUACCGGAUGACGAGGUCGAUGUCGUUGUUGGCGAUCGUCACCACGAUGUCGGGGACGUUGUACGGAGUGUCCAGGUGCGACUCCAUCGUCGCCCUGAGCCAAAAUCAGCCAAAAUUACCCCAAAAUCACCCAAAAUCACCCAAAAUCACCCAAAAUCACCCCAAAAUCAGCCACAAUCACCCCAAAAUCACCCAGAACCACCCAGAAUCACCCAAAAUCCACACAAAAUUACCCCAAAUCCUCCCAAAAUCACCCAAAAUUACCCAAAAUACCCCCAAAUUACCCCAAAUCCACCCCAAAUUCACCCCAGGUAUCCCCAGGUGUCCCACACCUGUCCCCAGGUACCCCCAGGUGUCCCCAGGUGUCCCCAGGUAUCCCCAGGUGAUGUCACCUGUCCCCAGGUGUCCCACACCUGUCCCCAGGUGUCCCCACACCUGUCCCCAGGUAUCCCCAGGUACCCCCAGGUGUCCCCACACCUGUCCCCAGGUACCCCCAGGUGUCCCCCAGGUGUCCCCAGGUGUCCCCCAGGUGUCCCCAGGUGUCCCCCACCUGUCCCCAGGUAUCCCCAGGUAUCCCCAGGUGUCCCCAGGUGUCCCCCACCUGUCCCCAGGUAUCCCCAGGUACCCCCAGGUACCCACACCUGUCCCCAAGUGUCCCCAGGUAUCCCCAGGUGUCCCACACCUGUCCCCAGGUGUCCCCACACCUGUCCCCAGGUACCCCCAGGUAUCCCCAGGUGA